UGGGGAAUAUUGGACAAUGGGCGCAAGCCUGAUCCAGCCAUGCCGCGUGAGUGAUGAAGGCCCUAGGGUUGUAAAGCUCUUUCACCGGUGAAGAUAAUGACGGUAACCGGAGAAGAAGCCCCGGCUAACUUCGUGCCAGCAGCCGCGGUAAUACGAAGGGGGCUAGCGUUGUUCGGAUUUACUGGGCGUAAAGCGCACGUAGGCGGACUUUUAAGUCAGGGGUGAAAUCCCGGGGCUCAACCCCGGAACUGCCUUUGAUACUGGAAGUCUUGAGUAUGGUAGAGGUGAGUGGAAUUCCGAGUGUAGAGGUGAAAUUCGGAGAUAUUCGGAGGAACACCAGUGGCGAAGGCGGCUCACUGGACCAUUACUGACGCUGAGGUGCGAAAGCGUGGGGAGCAAACAGG
rnacentral:rRNA from 2 species